UAGGGAAUCUUCGGCAAUGGGGGCAACCCUGACCGAGCAACGCCGCGUGAGUGAAGAAGGUUUUCGGAUCGUAAAGCUCUGUUGUAAGUCAAGAACGGGUGUGAGAGUGGAAAGUUCACACUGUGACGGUAGCUUACCAGAAAGGGACGGCUAACUACGUGCCAGCAGCCGCGGUAAUACGUAGGUCCCGAGCGUUGUCCGGAUUUAU
rnacentral:rRNA from 1 species